rnacentral:rRNA from 1 species
GAUGAACGCUAGCGGCAGGCUUAACACAUGCAAGUCGAGGGGCAGCAUGGUCUUCGGACUGAUGGCGACCGGCAAACGGGUGCGGAACACGUACAGAAUCUGCCUUUAUCUGGGGGAUAGCCUUUGGAAACGAAGAUUAAUACCCCAUAGUAUUAUUAGGUGGCAUCACCUUGAUAAUUAAAGAAUUUCGGAUAGAGAUGACUGUGCGUACUAUUAGCUAGUUGGUAGGGUAACGGCCUACCAAGGCUACGAUAGUUAGCUGAUGUGAGAGCAUGAUCAGCCACACGGGCACUGAGACACGGGCCCGACUCCUGCGGGAGGCAGCAGUGAGGAAUAUUGGUCAAUGGGCGCAAGCCUGAACCAGCCAUGCCGCGUGAAGGAUGAAGGCGUUCUGCGUCGUAAACUUCUUCUACCUGGGAAGAAACCUACCUUUUCUAAGGUAGCCGACGGUACCAGAGGAAUAAGCACCGGCUAACUCCGUGCCAGCAGCCGCCGCCG